rnacentral:lncRNA from 1 species
UGUGUGUUUGGGGGUCUGGUGCAGGCAGGCUGGGGUGGUGCUCUGGGUGCUUGCUGAGGGGAAUUGGGGAUGGAUGUGUAUGAUGUUGGGGGUUGUUAGAAUCACUACUCAUGUAUUUACCGAGUUGGGGAGGGAGCAAUUUUUCUUCUUGUUCUAAAUUGCAGCCAAUUUGCGGUCUCUGCAGCAGCUGCAUCUUCACAGCAAUCUCCUGGUGACUGUCCCCGCAUCCCUUGCCAGCCUUCCCAACUUGUCCAGGCUUGACUUGCAGAACAACUGGCUCCGCUCCAUCCCCCCCCGAGAUCCAGCACUCUCCCUUCAUGCACCUGCGGGGCAAUCCGCUAGGAGAACCUGAGAUCCCCCUGCAAUCUGAUGAAUCCAGCUCAGGAGAGCUAGGAAGAGUGUUCCUUGUACCCAAUGAGGACAGGUAUUUCACGCAGUGUCUCUGUUAUUUUUGUUACUAUUUAUUAUUUUGUAGUGCAGUAGCACUUAGAUGCCUUAGUCAAGAUUAGGGUCUCAUUUUGCUAGGUGCUGUACAUACACAUUAUUAGGGAUAGUCUCUGCCCCAAAUUGUUUCCAGUCCAAAUAGACAAGUCAGAGUUUUACUCCAUUACAUGCAGGUCACG